AAUGACAAUAGCAGCAGAGAGGGGCUGGGCUGUGUCAGUAAUGACAAUAGCAGCAGAGAGAGGAGGGGCUGUGUCAGUAAUGACAAUAGCAGCAGAGAGAGGAGGGGCUGUGUCAGUAAUGACAAUAGCAGCAGACAGAGGGGCUGUGAUGAGAGGGGCUGUGUCAGUAAUGACAAUAGCAGCAGACAGGAGUGGUGAUGAGAGGGGCUGUGUCAGUAAUGACAAUAGCAGCAGACAGAGGGGCUGUGAUGAGAGGGGCUGUGUCAGUAAUGACAAUAGCAGCAGACAGAGGGGCUGUGAUGAGAGGGGCUGUGUCAGUAAUGACAAUAGCAGCAGAGAGAGGGGCUGUGUCAGUAAUGACAAUAGCAGCAGACAGAGGGGCUGUGAUGAGAGGGGCUGUGUCAGUAAUGACAAUAGCAGCAGAGAGAGGAGGGGCUGUGUCAGUAAUGACAAUAGCAGCAGAGAGAGCUGAAGGGACUGAGGGUUUACAGGUGCUGCUGUUCUACACAAGCUGCUACAGAGACAGACAGUACCACUUAGUAAGCCGCUACAGAGAGACAGACAGUACCACUUAGUAAGCUGCUACAGAGAGAGACAGACAGUACCACUUAGUAAGCUGCUACAGAGAGAGACAGACAGUACCACUUAGUAAGCUGCUACAGAGAGAGACAGACAGUACAACUUAGUAAGCUGUUACAGAGAGAGACAGUACCACUUAGUAAGCUGCUACAGAGAGACAGACAGUACCACUUAGUAAGCUGUUACAGAGAGACAGACAGUACCACUUAGUAAGCUGCUACAGAGAGAGACAGACAGUACCACUUAGUAAGCUGCUACAGAGUGAGACAGACAGUACCACUUAGUAAGCUGCUACAGAGAGACAGACAGUACCACUUAGUAAGCUGCUACAGAGAGAGACAGACAGUACCACUUAGUAAGCUGCUACAGAGUGAGACAGACAGUACCACUUAGCAAGCUGCUACAGAGACAGACAGUACCACUUAGUAAGCUGCUACAGAGAGACAGACAGUACAACUUAGUAAGCUGCUACAGAGAGACAGACAGUACAACUUAGUAAGCUGUUACAGUGUGAGACAGUACCACUUAGUAAGCUGCUACAGAGAGACAGACAGUACCACUUAGUAAGGCAUCAGUGGGUUCACUCCAUAGGUGUUAAAGUAGACUGGGACCAUCAUACUAGACAACGUGUACAUUCUGGAAAGGGUUUGAACAUGCGCUGCACACCACACACACACAAAACAUGUUUAGUUAUUCAGAAAAGACAAACGACAGGUUACAGGUCAGAUAUUAAAUCGCUGCAUAUAUUUAUUAGUAUUAAGCUUUCAAUCUAAAAUGUCCUGACAAAAAAAUGUUUAUUUUUUAUUUUCACUGUGCAGACAUGAAACAUGACUUCUGGGAGCAUAUCAGCAUGCUGGAAAGUUAAUCACAACGGGCUUUAAGGUAGCGCCAUUAAAUAGCAGGUGUAUCGCAUAGCUCUGAAAACUACAGGUACCAGAGUCGGGUAAUGAGGUCUAUCUUAUUUAGGUAUGUCUGUAUGCCCGUACUCAUAAAGGGUCUCGGAGUAGGAGUGCUGAUCUAGGAUCAGAUUAGCCUUUUAGAUUACAAUGAAUAAGAUUCCAUGGACAGUGUGGACCUGAUCCUAGAUCAGCAUUUAUACUCAGGAGACGGUUGAUACAUGUACACACAGCCCCUGGUAGUAACUGUUCACUGUGCAGUCAGUCUCUUCGUUAUCAAUACUGAUGUGAUACCCCUCCCUUGUUUGGAUCAGAGUGGUUCUGUAGAGACCAUCCACUCUACGCCUCAAAAUGGAGGAAUUCUCACUGGCUCACUGAUGCAGUGAUAAACACACCCUCCAUUUUGUGAAGUAAUUUGGGAAAAUCAGCCAACAAAAAGAACACUGUGAAAUAAACGUAACUCAAGCCAUUCCCUCACACUGUGUUCUCUACAUAGUCCUCAGCCAAAUCAACAUGAGCACCCUCUCCCCAAAAGCAGCAAUAUAAACAUUAAAAACCUUGAGAUACAUUUUUGAACCAGUGUUGGAAAAUAAAGAAUUCUUUAAUUCUGUAACGUUAAAAUACAUACAAAAUCAUUUCUUCUUUGUCAACACUUAGAAAGCCAGGACUGGCACGAAACUGUUUAUUGUAUGGUCAUUUUGGACCAUUAUCAGUCUAACAAUAUAUGCAGCAGGUUGUUGGAUCAUACACUACCGAGCUGGCCUGGUUACGCAUCCACCAUCGUUGCUAGAACCAUGCUGAAAAGGACCAUGGGAAAAGCCUUCAGAGCCAGCAUCGUUUGGUUGGAAUGAUCGUGUGAUAAGGGUACGUAUGAAGUGAAGGUCUGGUCUGAGAUCAGAUCUGAUAUCUGUAGGAUAGUGAAACUCAGGUUUGAUAUCUGUAGAAUAGUGAAGCUCAGGUUUGAUAUCUGUAGGAUAGUGAAGCCCUGGUCUGAGAUCUGGUUUGAUAUCUGUAGGAUAGUGAAGCCCUGGUCUGAGAUCUGGUUUGAUAUCUGUAGGAUAGUGAAGGCCUGGUCUGAGAUCUGGUUUGAUAUCUGUAGGAUAGUAAAGGCCUG
ensembl:lncRNA